CAAACGACUCUCGGCAACGGAUAUCUCGGCUCUC
rnacentral:rRNA from 1 species